rnacentral:lncRNA from 1 species
UUUUGCUAUUACUGUCUCUGGUGAGUCCUCUCUCUUGCUCUUGCUUGCUUGCACUGAUGAAGUAAGCUGCCACGUUGUGAGAUGCUCAACGAAGAGGCCCAUGAGGCAGGGCACCGAGGGAGGCUUCUGGCCAACAGCUCCUGGGGAACCAAGGCCUUAGGAAGUGAGUCCUGCCAACAAUAACGAGAGCCUUGAACUUUGAAACCACAGUACCUUGUUCCAGCGUGGAAAGCAGCGUGGCACUUCCCGGUGGUGAAAGCACCCCAGCUUGAAAGGGUGAAAACACCUUCUCCCAGAUAGUCUCCCUUUGUUUAGCCAGUGCUUUUGCCUUAAGGAAAUCAAAUGAAGGUAUGCUCCUUGGUUGGCUGCUGAAUCUGUCCUUCCUUGUCAGCUUUGCCCAGAGCAGCAGGCUUUGAGCUCUGGGAGGAUUUCCAGGUGGC